GCAAAGCCGGGCAACUUUCGAAACAACAAAUCAUAACCGUUACGGGUAGAGGGUACUUUGGAACAGUUGUGAUUUCCGCGCCAACUGCCUGAAGAUCAAUUUAGGCAACGGCUACUAAAGAGAAAUGAGGAACGCAAUCCUGAGAGGAAAGAAAAGAAGAGAGAGAAAACAGAGAGGUGCCAGCACUCCCACUCGGGGCGGGCAGCAGGCUGCUGUCUUGCGUCAUAAUGGGCCACGGCCAGCACUGGCCACGCUGUCACCGCGUCGCCACGGCAACGUUUGUGACACGGCCACCCGGGAGGGGUAUAAAGGCGGUGCACGGUGGUGGGUCCUGCACCCUGAAGGAGCAUCUGGACGAGAGCAGACGCAUCUGAAGGGAUGAGCUCCGGCAUGGCUGGCGCCAACACGGAGCAACCCGCUGGCACAAGGCGGAACAGGACGAGCGAGGCCGGCCCCGCAGCGAGGCGUGCCUCCAGAGCGACAGACACCAACACCGAAGGUACACGGGUCCACAGCCACCACAGGAGCGCUGCUGCAGCCCAUCUUGGCGCUGAGCGGGAGAGACCCAGCACGGGGACCAGCUCGGGGCUGUCUCCGUGUGGGGCUGGGGACUGCAACGAC
ensembl:lncRNA